GGAUUAGAUACCCUGGUAGUCCUAGCUGUAAACGAUGGAUACUAGACGUAGGAACUGGAUUGACGGUUUCUGUGUCGUAGCUAACGCGUUAAGUAUCCCGCCUGGGGAGUACGGUCGCAAGACUAAAACUCAAAGGAAUUGACGGGGGCCCGCACAAGCGGUGGAGUAUGUGGUUUAAUUCGAAGCAACGCGCAGAACCUUACCCAGCCUUGACAUCUUCGGAAUCCCUGCGAAAUCAGGGAGUGCCUCCUUACGGAGGAAUCGAAUGACAGGUGCUGCAUGGCUGUCGUCAGCUCGUGCCG
rnacentral:rRNA from 1 species